rnacentral:lncRNA from 1 species
AAAAGGAAAAAGAGUUUGAUCAGUAGUCUGUUUCUAAAUAGUCUCCGCCGGAUCCUCCUCUAUUUAUAUAAGAAUAAACUCAUCUCUCUCUCACAAGUCAUAAACGUAGACUACAAAUAAAUCUCUCUCUCUCUCUCUCUCUCUCUCUCUCACAAGUCAUAAACGUAGACUACAAAUAAAUCUCUCUCUCUCUCUCUCUCGACAAAGACUAGUAAUAAUGGCUGGUGGCGAUUUGAUCGUGAGCUUCGGCGAGAUGCUGAUCGACUUCGUGCCGACGGUGUCGGGCGUUUCACUGGCGGAAGCACCGGGAUUCCUCAAAGCUCCGGGAGGCGCGCCGGCGAACGUGGCGAUCGCGGUGGCGAGGCUGGGAGGAAAGGCGGCGUUCGUCGGGAAGCUAGGAGACGACGAGUUCGGUCACAUGCUCGCCGGAAUACUCAAGGAGAAUGGAGUGUCCGGCGACGGAAUCAAGUUCGAUCAAGGAGCUCGAACAGCGCUGGCGUUCGUGACACUACGCGCCGACGGGGAGCGUGAGUUUAUGUUCUACAGGAAUCCGAGUGCCGACAUGUUGUUGACUCCCGAGGAGUUGAAUCUGGAUCUCAUCAAAUCUGUACGUACUUGCUUCAC